rnacentral:snRNA from 1 species
AUACUUACCUGGCAGGGGAGACACCAUGAUCAGGCAGGUGGUUUUCCCAGGGCGAGGCUCUUUUUUUUUUUUGAGACCUCACUUGGAGUACUGUGUACAGUUCUGGUGUC